rnacentral:rRNA from 1 species
AGUGAACGCUGGCGGUAGGCCUAACACAUGCAAGUCGAACGGCAGCACAGUAAGAGCUUGCUCUUACGGGUGGCGAGUGGCGGACGGGUGAGGAAUACAUCGGAAUCUACUUUUUCGUGGGGGAUAACGUAGGGAAACUUACGCUAAUACCGCAUACGACCUACGGGUGAAAGCAGGGGAUCUUCGGACCUUGCGCGAUUGAAUGAGCCGAUGUCGGAUUAGCUAGUUGGCGGGGUAAAGGCCCACCAAGGCGACGAUCCGUAGCUGGUCUGAGAGGAUGGUCAGCCACACUGGAACUGAGACACGGUCCAGACUCCUACGGGGGGCAGCAGUGGGGAAUAUUGGGCAAUGGGCGCAAGCCUGAUCCAGCCAUACCGCGUGAGUGAAGAAGGCCUUCGGGUUGUAAAGCCCUUUUGUUGGGAGAGAAAAGCAGCAGGUUAAUACCCCGCUGUUCUGACGGUACCCAAAGAAUAAGCACCGGCUAACUUCGUG